UCCCUGGAGGACUAGUGGUUAGGCCGCAGUGCUCUCGCCGCUGCUGCCCAGGAUCAAUUCCAGGCCAGGGAA